UACGUAGGUGGCAAGCGUUGUCCGGAUUGACUGGGCGUAAAGCGCACGCAGGCGGCACCGCGCGUGGGGUGUGAAAUCUGGCCGCUUAACGGCCAGGCGCCAUCCCAUACGGGGGAGCUGGAGUGAUGCAGAGGUCGAUGGAAUUGCCGGUGUAGUGGUGAAAUGCGUAGAGAUCGGCAGGAACACCCAGGGGGAAACCAGUCGACUGGGCAUCUACUGACGCUGAGGUGCGAGAGCGUGGGGAGCGAACCGG
rnacentral:rRNA from 1 species